GUCUGUUUAUGUCAUGGCUGUGUUAGUGAGGUCCUGUUACCGUUGGUCUCUGUUGGGUGUCUGUUUAUGUCAUGGCUGCGUUAGUGAGGUCCUGUUACCGUUGGUCUCUGUUGGGUGUCUGUUUAUGUCAUGGCUGUGUUAGUGAGGUCCUGUUACCGUUGGUCUCUGUUGGGUGUCUGUUUAUGUCAUAGCUGCGUUA